GAUGACAUGCCACCUAACCCGGGGGAUGACAGAUUAGAUAAGUGAAUGCUGAUACCUCAUAGCUGCUAUUAGCAUGGUUAGAUUCUGUACGCUUAAUAGGAGCUAUCCACUUCGGGAGGGGCCUGCGUCCCAUCAGCUAGUUGGUAAGGUAACGGCUUACCAAGGCGAUAAUGGGUAGGUGAUCUGAGAGGAUGAUCCCCCACACUGGCACUGACACACGGGCCAGACUCCUACGGGAGGCAGCAGUAAGGAAUAUUGCACAAUGGGCGAAAGCCUGAUGCAGCAACGCCGCGUGGGCGAAGAAGGCCUGUCGGGUUGUAAAGCCCUUUUAUGGAGGAAGAGGAAGGACGGGACUCCCAGGAAUAAGUAUCGGCUAACGACGUGCCAGCAGCCGCGGUAA
rnacentral:rRNA from 1 species